GAUGAACGCUGGCGGCGUGCCUAAUACAUGCAAGUCGAGCGAACAGACGAGGAGCUUGCUCCUCUGACGUUAGCGGCGGACGGGUGAGUAACACGUGGAUAACCUACCUAUAAGACUGGGAUAACUUCGGGAAACCGGAGCUAAUACCGGAUAAUAUAUUGAACCGCAUGGUUCAAUAGUGAAAGACGGUUUUGCUGUCACUUAUAGAUGGAUCCGCGCCGCAUUAGCUAGUUGGUAAGGUAACGGCUUACCAAGGCGACGAUGCGUAGCCGACCUGAGGGGGUGAUAGGCGACCGUGGAGCUUAGCCAGGGACGAGCAGACGACGGGAGGCACCAGGCGGGAAUGUUGCGCAAGGUGUGAAAGUCUGACGGAGUAAUGCCGCGUGAGGGAUGAAGGUCUUCGGAUCGUAACACUCUGUUAUUGAGGAAGAACAAAUGUGUAAGUAACUAUGCACGUCUUGACGGUACCUAAUCAGGAAGCCACGGCUAACUACGUG
rnacentral:rRNA from 1 species